AAGACAGGACCCCCGAAAACAAAAAAAACAACGAAGAUAGACACUCCCAAAUCGAUUUGGGGAUUAGGGCUCAUGAGGAAAAUCAAUUUCGAUUAAACUGUGUCAUUUUUGACAUUUGAGAAGAAGCAAGUGAUCUGGGCUACAAAUCGGGGUUUAGGAAGCGAAACAGAAUGAAUCGAGGCAAAAAACAGUUUGAAAAGAGAGAAAGUAUGGUUAUCAAUGCGAGUUCAUCUGCGAGUGGUUACAAUGAUGGUAUUCUCCAUUUGUGUGAUUGUAAUCGGCCGGCGAAAGUUGUCAGAGCUUGGACUGAUGCGAACCCUGGGCGACGAUUCUACAGUUGCAAUGGGCGUCAAAUGGGUAACAGAUAUGACUCUUGCAACUUUUUUCGUUGGUUUGAUGAAGAGAAACCACAUGGGUGGCAACAUCUAGCAUUGUUGGAGGCUAGAGAUGUCAUUCGAGUGCAAAGAGAAGAGAUUAUAAAAUUUGAAACAAGAGCUGGCAUUGAAGAACUCGUUUGAAGCAGAAGGUCCGAGUGAAGUCCAGGAUCAGCUGAGGAAAACCCAACAGGAAUGUGAAUCACUAAAGCAAGAGGUAUUGGUUCUUAAAGAAAAGAGCACAAUUCAAUAUCUUAUGUCCUUGGAGUAGUCUGAUCGUGGUUGAAGUUGAGCUGUUGAUGACAUUGUAUUGUUCGUACUAGCUCAUGAUGACUUUGUAGUCUAUUCUAGUAUUUCUGCUGCUUGAUUUAUAUUCUAUGUGUAACAAGAUUUCUAUUCUAUUCCAUGAGUUAGAUUUACAUU